ACAUUGGUGCUACAGUGGUAGAAUUCUCACCUUCCAUGUGUGAGACCCGGGUUUGAUUCCCAGCCAGUGCA
rnacentral:tRNA from 1 species